rnacentral:rRNA from 1 species
UACGUAGGUGGCAAGCGUUGUCCGGAAUUAUUGGGCGUAAAGCGCGCGCAGGCGGUUUCUUAAGUCUGAUGUGAAAGCCCACGGCUCAACCGUGGAGGGUCAUUGGAAACUGGGAAACUUGAGUGCAGAAGAGAAGAGCGGAAUUCCACGUGUAGCGGUGAAAUGCGUAGAUAUCAGGAAGAACACCCGUGGCGAAGGCGGCUCUCUGGAACGCAACUGACGCUGAGACG